rnacentral:rRNA from 1 species
AUUGAACGCUGGCGGCAGGCCUAACACAUGCAAGUCGAGCGGAUGAAGGGAGCUUGCUCCUGGAUUCAGCGGCGGACGGGUGAGUAAUGCCUAGGAAUCUGCCUGGUAGUGGGGGAUAACGUCCGGAAACGGGCGCUAAUACCGCAUACGUCCUGAGGGAGAAAGUGGGGGAUCUUCGGACCUCACGCUAUCAGAUGAGCCUAGGUCGGAUUAGCUAGUUGGUGGGGUAAAGGCCUACCAAGGCGACGAUCCGUAACUGGUCUGAGAGGAUGAUCAGUCACACUGGAACUGAGACACGGUCCAGACUCCGACGGGGGGAAGCAGUGGGGAAUAGUGGACAAUGGGCGAAAGCCUGAUCGAGCCAUGACGAGUGUGUGAAGAAGGUCUUCGGAUUGUAAAGCACUUUAAGUUGGGAGGAAGGGCAGUAAGUUAAUACCUUGCUGUUUUGACGUUACCAACAGAAUAAGCACCGGCUAACUUCGUG